UACGGAGGGUGCAAGCGUUAUCCGGAUUCACUGGGUUUAAAGGGUGCGUAGGUGGGCAGGUAAGUCAGUGGUGAAAUCUCCGGGCUUAACCCGGAAACUGCCAUUGAUACUAUCUGUCUUGAAUACCGUGGAGGUGAGCGGAAUAUGUCAUGUAGCGGCGAAAUGCUUAGAUAUGACAUAGAACACCAAUUGCGAAGGCAGCUCACUACACGAAUAUUGACACUGAGGCACGAAAGCGCGGGGAUCAAACAGG
rnacentral:rRNA from 1 species